UCGAACGGUAGCACAGAAGCUUGCUCUCGGGUGACGAGUGGCGGACGGGUGAGUAAUGUCUGGGAACUGCCCGAUGGAGGGGGAUAACUACUGGAACGGUAGCUAAUACCGCAUAAUGUCGCAAGACCAAAGAGGGGGACCUUCGGGCCUCUUGCCAUCGGAUGUGCCCAGGAUGGGAUUAGCUUGUAGGUGGGGUAACGGCUCACCUAGGCGACGAUCCCUAGCUGGUCUGAGAGGAUGACCAGCCACACUGGAACUGAGACACGGUCCAGACUCCUACGGGAGGCAGCAGUGGGGAAUAUUGCACAAUGGGCGCAAGCUCUGAUGCAGCCAUGCCCGCGUGUAUGGAAGAAGGCCUUUCGGGUUGUAAAAGUACUUUUCAGCGAGAGAGGAAGGCG
rnacentral:rRNA from 1 species